CACUGUACUGAUAGAGUAUGUUUAGGCCACACUCUAUAUUUGAUGUAUUUCACUGCACUGGCACAGCACCGUCAUUUGGACCAUAACAGAGGAAUGUGGUCCCCCCUGGGGUGCCCGGACCUGUGGUUGGGAAUCCCUGAUCUACGUCAUCUAAUUCCACCUACCCGUGUCCAGAGGGCGCGAUGAAGUACAGGCAGCAGUGGACUCUGUUGUCCGGCAUGGAUCUUCGGUUCACUCUUGACUCUGCAUUCAGGAAGUCCUCGCACUUACUGUCAAUGUAGUUUAUGACUGGCUGCCAACUGGAAGAUGGGAAAAAUGAAGAAAUGAGGCGAAGAGAAGAGGAGGACAUUGGAUAACCACAAAGAACAUCUGAUCAUUUGGAAACACUCGGAUUAUGCCAGCACGCCUCACCAGUUACUGUUGUCCACAGCAUCACCAAACCCUGGAGUAUCGACAAUAGUGAGUGUCAACUGGACCCCCCCUUCCUUAAUCAGCACUUUGGACUGCUCCACCUGAAACACACCAACAUUUACACUGUUUAGUACACUCCUGGUCCGAAUCAAAACCUAUUCCUAUACUACAUUUGACUUGUUGGAGUGUUCUCAUAACCUUUCUGUAUUUGUGCAGAUGGCUUGCAUUUCUUCUGUGAAAAGGAUAGUGUAGCAUAAUAGCCAACAAUAUAGACAGCUGCAAAACAUGUAAAUUAAAAAUAUCUUAACUAAAUAGCCUAUAUUGCAUAAAAACGGGCCUAUCUCUGAAAAUGCUUUUCUUUAGUUUUACCAGUGUUUCCCACACACACACUAAUUUGUGGUGGUCUGGUGUUAGUUCCGGUAGCAGGCUACAGGCGAGAGGGUGCUGGAUAAGACGGGGACUGUGUGUGUCUGCGUUGUUCAGCAGUUGUCGGGUAUGUGAGAGGAAAUACAUCUAACAUGCAAACGCAUAUCCGACGCCAUCACCCAGAUGAACCAAUCACUGGAACGAG